AUACGUAUGGUGCAAGCGUUAUCCGGAUUUACUGGGUGUAAAGGGAGUGUAGGUGGUCUGACAAGUCAGAGGUGAAAGCCCGGGGCUCAACCCCGGGACUGCCUUUGAAACUGUACAACUUGAAUCCGGGAGAGGGUGGCGGAAUUCCAGGUGUAGGAGUGAAAUCCGUAGAUAUCUGGAGGAACACCAGUGGCGAAGGCGGCUUCCUGGUCUGUAACUGACACUGAGGCGCGAAAGCGUGGGGAGC
rnacentral:rRNA from 1 species